rnacentral:rRNA from 1 species
AACGAACGCUGGCGGCAGGCCUAACACAUGCAAGUCGAGCGAGCAUUUCGGUGCUAGCGGCGGACGGGUGAGUAACGCGUGGGAACGUGCCCUUUUCUGCGGAAUAGUCCUGGGAAACUGGGGGUAAUACCGCAUACGCCCUUUUGGGGAAAGAUUUAUCGGAGAAGGAUCGGCCCGCGUUGGAUUAGGUAGUUGGUGGGGUAAUGGCCCACCAAGCCGACGAUCCAUAGCUGGUUUGAGAGGAUGAUCAGCCACACUGGGACUGAGACACGGCCCAGACUCCUACGGGAGGGAGGAGUGGGGAAUCUUAGACAAUGGGGGCAACCCUGAUCUAGCCAUGCCGCGUGAGUGAUGAAGGCCUUAGGGUUGUAAAGCUCUUUCAGCUGGGAAGAUAAUGACGGUACCAGCAGAAGAAGCCCCGGCUAACUCCGUG